CCGUGGAGUGCCCUGCGAUGCAAACUCAAUUUGGGUUUUAGCAACUCAGUAUCAGAUGUGUGUUACUACAAAUUAAUGGGUCAAAUUGCUUUGCAUCAAUUUGUUGUACGGUGGGCGUUCAACGGGUUAAGCAUAUACCUACACUAUUACUACAGAAGUACACACUUUAUUUCAAAGUUGGAAAAUAUAUCAUAUUUGCAGAGCUAUAAUUUUAUUUUUUCGUAUGAUUAAAAAAAAGAUAGGUUGCAUACUUAAUUUUAGUUUAUGAGACAUAACAAAACUGGUUGUAAAAUUAUAGGAAAAAAAAUGAUUAUAAGUCAGCUGUCACACGACAGUCACUUCUGAUAUUUAUAUUAAUUAAAAAAUAUUUAUAUUACAAUGAUAAGAUUUGAAACAUUUAAACAUAAUUUAGAUGUUGAUGACAAAUCUGGCAUAAAAGAUGUUAAUAUUGAUAAAAGUGUUAAUUUUAGAGGCUGCAUUGAUUUAUUAAAUAAAAACAGUCCAAGUUACUCUCUUGACACUGAAAUUCCACCUCUUGGUGCUGCUGUGGUGGGAUGGAAUAACACUGAUGCUCCCCUUCCAGAAAAGACAAAAUUUUAUAAUGCCUGGACUGAUAUUGAUGCUCAAGAGCUCUUCCUAAACUCAAAGCCUACUUGCUUUCUCAUUCUUGGUAAGCCUGGAGUUGGGGCAUACACACUGGGUGAAUCUAUAUCUAAAAAACUCAAUUGUAUUCACUUGUGCCCAAGAAAUGUAAUAAUAGAUGAAAUGGAACAGAAGACCUCAACUGGAAAAUGUAUGGACUUUAACAUGAGAGAUAAUAAGGUGUGCAAGUAUGACACAGUUUUCCCAAUCAUUAAAGAAAAGAUGAAAUCACCAGCCGUCCAACACAGGGGUUAUGUGAUGUCAGGACUACCGCUAGUGACCACGAGUUGGAAUGAGAAUUACCUUUUUGGUAGUUUGCAUGAUGAAGAUUCAAUAUUAGAAGCAAAUGAUUUUUUAUACAAUGUUAUACUCAAUAUGAAGAAAACGAAAAAGCGGAAGAAAGAUGUAGAGACUACUUCUAUCGGAAGUCAAGAGGAAGCGGAAGAAGACAGAGAGGAAGAAGCUGAAGAAGAACAGGAACCUGAAGAUGAAGAUGUAGGAGAAGAAGAAGAACCUCCAGUUGAAUUACCAAAAUUUUUAUUAGACCCAUGUUCUGGAAUGAUCUCAUUCAAUAAACCAUACAUGACCUCUAAAAAAGUUGCAUUGCUAGAACAGUUCAAACAGAUUAUGGAGUUGCCUCUAAAACCGGAUGUUGUAAUUUAUAUCACAAGUUCAGAUGCAGACGCUGUAUCCAAAAAACAAAACACUUAUUUGAAUUAUGGGAAUUUAUCUACUGUUUACAAAUCUAUCCCUAGUAGAAUUCAAGCAGACCUGAGAUGGCCCAUUAAAUGUGAUAUUAAUGUAGACCAGUCUCACAGACAAGAAAAUAUUGUCAAUUCUAAGUAUUAUUGUAGGCAACCAAUGAAUUUCAAGGAGAAUUCUGUUGAACAGAUGUGUAACUUUAGGAAACAUCUCCUUACAUAUAUUGAAUGUCAACUUAAACAAUAUGAACCUGCAACUAUCAUUAAAGUAGAUGGUUGUCUUCAAGUUUAUCAAAUGAUGCAACAAAUUUCAGAACGGCUUCUUUUCUUGUCUAUCAAACCAGUUUGUAUCCCAGAACCUAUGUAUCUUGAAGAUCCUUCUGAUGAUAUGGAGGAAUUCUGGCAAAAUGUGGAAGAAUUGGCUGUAAUUCGUAGUAAUAAUAUCAGUUUCAAUAGAUACGCAUCUCCAUGGUACAAUAGAUGUCCUGUAGAACUCAAGAAAAGAAUAUCAACAAGAGGACACUCCAAAUUUGCUGUUACUUUCCUGAAACAUGUAUAUCUUUUGUCUACAUUAUCGUCUAUGAUACAGUUUUGCAGAAACCCUCGGCCAUUUCUGAAAUUAACAUAUUUAGAGCCGACGUGUAGAGCUAUUGUUGUUGGCACUAAAAGUGCAGGCAAAACAAUGAUCUGUAAAUGUCUUGAGUGGCUAUUUGAUGCACAAUACAUCAACUUCAAUGAAUUAUAUGAAGAAGAAAAGAAAAAGAAAGAAAUAAUGAUAAAAAGAAAUAUUUUUGGCGAAAUAAUUGCAACAAUAGAAGAUGCGAGAUUUGCAUUGUGGCAAACCACUGAAUCUCAAAGAGAGAAAGAUUUAAAUGCCUGGUAUGGCUUAACUUUGAAGAAUCUGAAAAAAUACCUGCCUUUACUAGAUACGUACUUAACGCAUGCGCAGUGCUCGUGUGAAGAAGAGGAAGGAACGAAGGAAGCGGAAGCAGAAAAUGUAAAAAAAAAAUCCCCUAUAGACCUGGAUUUCCUAAGCACAUUUCAGAAAUAUCGAAACGAAUUGUUGACCCUUCCAUUCGUCAAUGAUGUAGAGGAAAUUAAACGAGCUAUUGCUGAUAAAGACACUUUGUUGAGAAAUGGCCCUGAUCACUUGAUUAUUCCAACAGAAAAUCCAGCAUUACCGGUGCUAGGUGAUGCUGAUGUUACUGAAGCAAUUAGCGCCUACAUUGUUGCAAAUGAACUUCAAAAGGACCUUGAGCCCACUCCUGAGGAGUUAGUGACUGAAUUAUGCAAGAUUUUGGACAAUAUUGAUAAGGAAGUGGCUGAGUCAACAUUUAAUGAAAAACAAUAUGGAAAAUGGGUCAUUGAUGAUUUUCCGUCAGAUCCAGUAUUUUGGGGACUUUUAAUAGAUUCCGGCUUCAUGCCUGAUUAUACAAUAGCGUUAAUAGAAAACAGAGAAAUACAGGCAGAGCUUAUGAAAGAAUAUAAAAAUAUUGAAAAUAGCGUUAAACAUUACCAAGAGAGAUUUGUUUUAGCCGAUGAUCCAUUAAUCAAGAUUAAACUAAAAGAAAAACAACCCACUCCACUCUCUCCACAUUCAGUAAUAAAAUUUAUUAUUCUUGAUCACCAGGCCCAAGUUUUGGAUGGUAUCUUUAGUGAUAGCCCAGAAAAUGCUGCUGAUGUUUCCGACUUAACAGAUGAUAUAAAGACAUUUACUGAAGCAAUUGAUACAUUUCGAGAAAACUGGACGGAAAUUCAAUCUAAAAUUGAAGGAGCUAACAAAUGCCACAUCGUGGCGGAGCUCGAGAAUAAAACUGAUGUUGCUAUUACAGAAGAAGUGUUAUUAAAGUUACGUCAAUGCUAUUAUUUGCCGUGUAUUCCUGGCGAACCAGAGGAUAUAGAAAAUCUCGGCGAAGAAGUGGAUCAACCAAAAGAUACAAGUACCUUUAAUUUACCUUAUUUUUUGUGUGAAACGAAUGUUUAUUGCCCCAUUGCGUAUUAUGAUUAUGGCGUAUUAUGGGAAGGAAAACCUGAAUACUCUAUCAAAUACAACAACAAACUCCAUCUGUUCUCGAAUGAAAAUUGUUUAAAUAACAUAUUUUCAAAAGAUGUUACUAAGUAUCAGUCAUACAAUAAGCCGUUUAAACAAAUUCCUUGUUUGAGAAUUUGUGUAAUGGGUUGUAUUGGCAGUGGGAAGACUACAAUAGCAAAAUACAUAGCCAAAGAACUUGGUUUAAUUCAUGUCGAUUUUGUUGAACUUAUGAAUGACUAUUUAUUGCCGCGACAUUUCAAGAAAAUUGGUCGCAAGUAUGAAAAUAGCUUCACUGAUACAUCAACUGCAGAUGAAAAUGCUGUAGAAAUACAAAUGGGCGAAGAAAACUUAGAAAACCUUGAAGCUGAUCUAAUGGCAAAAGAGACUGAGCUUAGACGCAUGUUAAAUAAUUAUUUUGAGCAAGGAACACCACUUCUGUCGAUUUUGUUGCAAAAAAUAUUAAAGAGAAUAUGGUUUGAAAAACCAUUUUGCUCCACAGGUAUUGUAGUAGAUGGGUUUCCACGAAUGGCAUCUGAUGUUGAGGAUAUGGUAGCUUGCUACUGCAUUCCAGAUCUUAUUAUUGAUGUAAGUACUAGUUCAGACGAUGUACAAGAACGGACAGCGCCUAAUAUGUACAAAACGUGGAAAGCUCAAAUUACUGAAGCAAAAUAUUUAGCUAAACUGAAAUUUGACAAAGAAAAAAGUGAAUGGUUCUCAUCUGUAACUCAGAAAGUCGUUUGUAAAUUAAUUUUAGAUGAGAUUGUAAACGCUGCUGUAGUAGAAGAUGAACCUAUUAAACCCCCGUCAACAGAAAGUAUUAAAAUAGAAGCUGGUACACAGGAAUCUGAAUUAAUGAAGUACUAUAACGAGAUAGUCGAAAAAUUUCCAGAGCCAGUCGAUUUAAGCACUUGGGAAAAUGCUAGCGAUGCUCGCGAUAGAAUCGAAGCCAGAAUAGACAGCAUUUAUGAGAUUGAAGAAGGAAACAUUGAUAAUCUAAGAGACCCUGCAGAAGAACAAAAAAUUAAGAUAGUGCCUAUUAAUAAUACAAAGUCAUUAAAUAAAACUUUGAGAAAAGUUUCAGCCCAGCUUAAAACCAUAAGGAAUAGAUCCGAAUCCUUUUUUGAGCAAACAUUUAUACUUGAUCCAGAUGUAGCAGGCAGACUUCUGUUAGAAGGCUUUUACUUUAUUAGCAGGUUUAAUAGAAUGUGUCCAGUACAUAUUUUUGAAAACCCCAACACCAUAAUGAAUCCCUAUAAAGUAAUGAAAACUAAAGGUACGGUUUACACUGUUGCCCACCGUUCUUACAUUUAUUUCAUCAGUGGUAUAACAAACUUGAAGAAGUUCAGACUUAAUCCACUGAAAUAUAUUGUAAACAAUAAUAUAACAAAUUUUAUUCAAUACCCUUUAAGGUUCAGCGUAAUUGGACCGCCAAAGUGUGGAAAAAGUGAAUUAGCAAUGAAAUUGGCAAAAAAAUAUGGUUUGAUUUGUAUUUCAAAAGGUAAAGCUAUUCGACAUGUAUUAAAUAAUAUGCACUGGACAGAAUUAGCAGAACAAAUGCAGAUGCAAUUAGGAGAAGGAAAAUGUAUUGAAACAGGCCUCAUAAUCAAAGCUGUUCAGAUUGUUGCUACCGAUCACCGCACAGUUACGAACGGUUGUGUCUUUGAUGGCUUUCCUGAUAGUGCAGCUGAAGCAAUGGAAUUGUUAAGUAUCGGGCUUUAUCCUCUCACAAUAUUCGAUCUUUCUAGUGACAAAAUGACGAUCCUAGACAAUUCACAGAAUGAGAUAUAUUUAGAUAUCAUUAAGUAUAAACCGCCGUAUUCACGAUCUUUUAUUGAAAACAGGUUUAUAAGCUGGGCUAAAAACUGUAUGAGUGUAAGGGAUUUUGUGAAGGAAGACAUUCAAAACCUUUGUCUUUUAAACGGGAACGAAUCCAGAUGGCAGUGUUUAAAAGAUGCCGUUCUGAGGAUUGAAUCAACAGCUCUAGAGAUUUGUCAUUACUUGCACAAAGCUCACUCAAAUGUUGUACCUGCCGGCGUCAUGUGUGUUUCGAACGAAGCAUUCAAACAAAGAAUGUCUUGUUAUAAAAACCUGUGUCCCGUUUGUCUCUCCAAAAAUACUCUGAGACACAACGAAUUCCCUGUUGAUAAAAAAGGUGUACUGCAGUAUAAAUACAUGUAUUAUUGGGUUUGCGAAGAGCACUUGAGGUUGGUUCUUAAUAAUCCCGACCAUUACUUAGCUCAUAGAAAGAUAGAUAUUCCAGAAAUCCCGACAGUUGUCAAAAGAAUCAACCCUUCACUUGUUUACGAAAAUGGCAUUUGUAUCGUAUCCUAUGCCGAAAACUUACCAGCACAAAAGAUAGAAAGAGGGAAUAAUAAGUUUGCAGCUAACUACCACAGAAAUACAUAUUUGUUUUGUUCUGCCCUUUGCCUAAAAAAGUUUUUGGCUAAACCUCAAUUGUAUUAUAAUGUAGUUGUUUUUAAAGAUGCAAAGAUGUUUCCAAAGCUAUCUCUUAAGAACUUACCGCAUAUUGGUUACUUGGAACAAACUGUAGGAGACAUAAUUACCGAAGCUUGUUGUUCAGUAAAUGUGCUGAGACCUAAGUACCCUGGCUUGGAUAUACAGCUUUCGGGUCUGCUCUAUAUAGCGCUUUAUCUAAAAACGCAUCACACUCAUACGGAUAAGAGUUUCCUGCCAAAGUAUUUGAGAGCUCUUGAAGUAUUUGAAGCUAGGUGCAAAUUAAUGAUAAAUGUCGGCUUACGCUUGAGAGCCAUGGACAAUCCGUUUUCCAAAUAUCCUAUAUGUCACCAUCGUUCAAAGAGGAUGGUGUCUAAUUCUGAGUUAAAGUCUGUAGCUUCCAGUAGCAGUGGAGAUUCGUUCGUCUCUUAUCGUCUAUGAUUCGACCUAAUAUCUUCACCUUUCCUUAGUUUAUACCUAGAUAUUUAGCUACUUAGACCAUUAUUUUUUGCUACAGGUGUCAUACUAGUUACCCAAGUUGAAGUUGUGUUGAUAUUUUCGUUUAAUGUUAAAGAAAAACUAUUUAAUUGUUUUUGUUAUUUUGUGUUGAUCUAAUAUUUAAAGAUAAUUAUCCCGUGGUUUUAUUUCUGGACGUUUGUGAACAAUCUCAUCACUGCAAGCAGGGUACCGGUGCCGGAUGAGCGAUAUGACUUCCUCUGCGAAUAUCAC